AUUGAACGCUGGCGGCAGGCUUAACACAUGCAAGUCGAACGGUAACAUAAAGGAGCUUGCUUCUUUGAUGACGAGUGGCGGACGGGUGAGUAAUGCUUGGGAAUCUAGCUUAUGGAGGGGGAUAACUACGGGAAACUGUAGCUAAUACCGCGUAGAAUCGGGAGAUGAAAGUGUGGGACCUUCGGGCCACAUGCCAUAGGAUGAGCCCAAGUGGGAUUAGGUAGUUGGCGAGGUAAAGGCUCACCAAGCCGACGAUCUCUAGCUGGUCUGAGAGGAUGACCAGCCACACUGGGACUGAGACACGGCCCAGACUCCUACGGGAGGCAGCAGUGGGGAAUAUUGCGCAAUGGGGGCAACCCUGACGCAGCCAUGCCGCGUGAAUGAAGAAGGCCUUCGGGUUGUAAAGUUCUUUCGGUAGCGAGGAAGGCAUUUAGUUUAAUAGACUAGGUGAUUGACGUUAACUACAGAAGAAGCACCGGCUAACUCCGUG
rnacentral:rRNA from 1 species